AGGGUUUGAUUAUGGCUCAGAACGAACGCUGGCGGCAGGCCUAACACUUGCAAGUCGAGCGCUACCUUCGGGUGGAGCGGCGGACAGGUUAGUAACGCGUGGGAAUAUACCCAGUUCUAAGGAAUAGCCACUGGAAACGGUGAGUAAUACCUUAUACGCCCUUCGGGGGAAAGAUUUAUCGGAAUUGGAUUAGCCCGCGUUAGAUUAGAUAGUUGGUGGGGUAAUGGCCUACCAAGUCUACGAUCUAUAGCUGGUUUGAGAGGAUGAUCAGCAACACUGGGACUGAGACACGGCCCAGACUCCUACGGGAGGCAGCAGUGGGGAAUCUUAGACAAUGGGCGCAAGCCUGAUCUAGCCAUGCCGCGUGAGUGAUGAAGGCCCUAGGGUCGUAAAGCUCUUUCAGCUGUGAAGAUAAUGACGGUAGCAGUAGAAGAAACCCCGGCUAACUCCGUGCCAGCAGCCGCGGUAAUACGGAGGGGGUUAGCGUUGUUCGGAAUUACUGGGCGUAAAGCGUACGUAGGCGGAUUAAUAAGUUAGAGGUGAAAUCCCAGGGCUCAACCCUGGAACUGCCUUUAGAACUGUUAGUCUUGAGAUCGAGAGAGGUGAGUGGAAUUCCAAGUGUAGAGGUGAAAUUCGUAGAUAUUUGGAGGAACACCAGUGGCGAAGGCGGCUCACUGGCUCGAUACUGACGCUGAGGUACGAAAGUGUGGGGAGCAAACAGGAUUAGAUACCCUGGUAGUCCACACCGUAAACGAUGAAUGCCAGACGUCAGCAAGCAUGCUUGUUGGUGUCACACCUAACGGAUUAAGCAUUCCGCCUGGGGAGUACGGUCGCAAGAUUAAAACUCAAAGGAAUUGACGGGGGCCCACACAAGCGGUGGAGCAUGCGGUUUAAUUCGCCGCAACGCGCAGAACCUUACCAACCCUCGACAUACUUGUCGCGGAUUCCAGAGAUGGAUUCCUUCAGUUCGGCUGGACAAUGUACAGGUGCUGCAUGGCUGUCGUCAGCUCGUGUCGUGAGAUGUUCGGUUAAGUCCGGCAACGAGCGCAACCCACGUCCUUAGUUACCAGCAUUUAGUUGGGUACCCUAAGGAGACUGCCGGUGAUAAGCCGGAGGAAGGUGUGGACGACGUCAAGUCAUCAUGGCCCUUACAGGUUGGGCUACACACGUGCUACAAUGGCAUCUACAGUGAGUUAAUCUCCAAAAGAUGUCUCAGUUCGGAUUGGGGUCUGCAACUCGACCCCAUGAAGUUGGAAUCGCUAGUAAUCGCGGAACAGCAUGCCGCGGUGAAUACGUUCCUGGGCCUUGUACACACCGCCCGUCACACCAUGGGAAUUGGGUCUACCCGAAGGUGGUGCGCCAACUAUUUAUAGGGGCAGCCAACCACGGUAGGUUCAGUGACUGGGGUGAAGUCGUAACAAGGUAGCCA
rnacentral:rRNA from 1 species